AGACUACAUAAUUCCUACUUGUAUGUUAAAAAAGUAAAGUUGUGUUAAAGCUUAAUGUUUUUUGUUUUUGGAAGGAAGAGGUAUGAGGAUAUUUGGGAAGCACAUAUUUCCAAGACAAAUUGUACUAUUUGCUUCUGGGAUGUUAUUUUUGGUUUCAACAACAUAGGAUGUGCAUAAAGAACAACCAAACACCACCUUCAAAGGAGCAAAUCCAAGCAUUUGAAGACUAUCUCAACCGCCCUUCUUAGGUGCACAAUAUGACACGUAUUCCUCUUAUCUACUUUUCAUCUCUCAAUUAAUUUUAUAUCUACUAAACUAAUAUUCUGUACCUAAUCACAUGUUGUAAUUUACGUUAGGGCCGUACGAGAUCGAAUUGAAUUGAAAUUUUUUUUGAUUAAUGGUUGGUUUUAUUUGAUUUA